UGGGGAAUAUUGCACAAUGGGCGCAAGCCUGAUGCAGCCAUGCCGCGUGUAUGAAGAAGGCCUUCGGGUUGUAAAGUACUUUCAGCGGGGAUGAAGGGAGUAAAGUUAAUACCUUUGCUCAUUGACGUUACCCGCAGAAGAAGCACCGGCUAACUCCGUGCCAGCAGCCGCGGUAAUACGGAGGGUGCAAGCGUUAAUCGGAAUUACUGGGCGUAAAGCGCACGCAGGCGGUUUGUUAAGUCAGAGGUGAAAUCCCCGGGCUCAACCUGGGAACUGCAUCUGAUACUGGCAAGCUUGAGUCUCGUAGAGGGGGGUAGAAUUCCAGGUGUAGCGGUGAAAUGCGUAGAGAUCUGGAGGAAUACCGGUGGCGAAGGCGGCCCCCUGGACGAAGACUGACGCUCAGGUGCGAAAGCGUGGGGAGCAAACA
rnacentral:rRNA from 1 species